UCUUCACAAAAAAAUACAGUUUUAUAUCUUUGUUUGAAGCCUAAAAGGUCGCAAAGUUCAAGGGGGCUGAAUACUUUCGCAAGGCACUGUAUAUGGGUAUUGUGUAUAUAGAAAAGGCCCCCUAAUUGCAUGUUCAGGGCAAGUUUAAUUUCUUAGCUACAGUAAUACUGGCGGUUAUUACUGGGAUCAUGUUGGGGGAACACUGGUCUGAAAGGAGUUCUUAGGGGCAACUGAUAUGUUGAGAGAAUAUACAGCACACAGUAUGAAAGGGCUCUAUUCAAUCCGUAGCACUGAAGAUCCGCUUUAUAGAGCGAUUGACAAUUAAAGACAAUGUUCCCGUGGUCGCGGAGACUGCAUUCACGGUAAACGGUAUGUCGGCUCAAUCAGAAUGAGAGUUUCUCCUACUCUGUACACAAGGGGUAAGUUUCUUUCCCUGGCUGAUAUGACUGAUACUAUUUUCUCCUGCUGUCUGUCUUUUGCUGCUGACAGUACGCUAAGUAUCCUGUUGUCAUCAGUCUGUUGCUGCUGACAGUACGCUAGGUAUCCUGUUGUCAUCAGUCUGUUGCUGCUGACAGGACGCUAGGUAUCAUGUUGUCAUCAAUCUGUUGCUGCUGACAGUACGCUAGGUAUCCUGUUGUCAUCAGUCUGUUGCUGCUGACAGGACGCUAGGUAUCAUGUUGUCAUCAAUCUGUUGCUGCUGACAGGACGCUAGGUAUCCUGUUGUCAUCAAUCUGUUGCUGCUGACAGUACGCUAGGUAUCCUGUUGUCAUCAAUCUGUUGCUGCUGACAGUACGCUAGGUAUCCUGUUGUCAUCAAUCUGUUGCUGCUGACAGUACGCUAGGUAUCCUGUUGUCAUCAAUCUGUUGCUGCUGACAGGACGCUAGGUAUCCUGUUGUCAUCAAUCUGUUGCUGCUGACAGUACGCUAGGUAUCCUGUUGUCAUCAAUCUGUUGCUGCUGACAGUACGCUAGGUAUCCUGUUGUCAUCAAUCUGUUGCUGCUGACAGGAUGCUAGGUAUCCUGUUGUCAUCAAUCUGUUGCUGCUGACAGGACGCUAGGUAUCCUGUUGUCAUCAGUCUGUUGCUGCUGACAGUACGCUAGGUAUCCUGUUGUCAUCAAUCUGUUGCUGCUGACAGUACGCUACGUAUCCUGUUGUCAUCAAUCUGUUGCUGCUGACAGUACGCUAGGUAUCCUGUUGUCAUCAAUCUGUUGCUGCUGACAGUACCCUAGGUAUCCUGUUGUCAUCAAUCUGUUGCUGCUGACAGUACGCUAGGUAUCCUGUUGUCAUCAAUCUGUUGCUGCUGACAGUACGCUAGGUAUCCUGUUGUCAUCAAUCUGUUGCUGCUGACAGUACGCUAGGUAUCCUGUUGUCAUCAAUCUGUUGCUGCUGACAGUACGCUAGGUAUCCUGUUGUCAUCAAUCUGUUGCUGCUGACAGGACGCUAGGUAUCCUGUUGUCAUCAAUCUGUUGCUGCUGACAGGACGCUAGGUAUCCUGUUGUCAUCAGUCUGUUGCUGCUGACAGGACGCUACGUAUCCUGUUGUCAUCAGUCUGUUGCUGCUGACAGGACGCUACGUAUCCUGUUGUCAUCAAUCUGUUGCUGCUGACAGGACGCUACGUAUCCUGUUGUCAUCAAUCUGUUGCUGCUGACAGGACGCUAGGUAUCCUGUUGUCAUCAGUCUGUUGCUGCUGACAGGACGCUACGUAUCCUGUUGUCAUCAAUCUGUUGCUGCUGACAGUACGCUAGGUAUCCUGUUGUCAUCAAUCUGUUGCUGCUGACAGUACGCUAGGUAUCCUGUUGUCAUCAAUCUGUUGCUGCUGACAGGACGCUACGUAUCCUGUUGUCAUCAAUCUGUUGCUGCUGACAGGACGCUAGGUAUCAUGUUGUCAUCAAUCUGUUGCUGCUGACAGUACGCUAGGUAUCCUGUUGUCAUCAAUCUGUUGCUGCUGACAGGACGCUACGUAUCCUGUUGUCAUCAAUCUGUUGCUGCUGACAGUACGCUAGGUAUCCUGUUGUCAUCAAUCUGUUGCUGCUGACAGGACGCUAGGUAUCCUGUUGUCAUCAGUCUGUUGCUGCUGACAGUACGCUAGGUAUCCUGUUGUCAUCAGUCUGUUGCUGCUGACAGUACGCUACGUAUCCUGUUGUCAUCAAUCUGUUGCUGCUGACAGUACGCUAGGUAUCCUGUUGUCUCAUUGUCUCAUUCUGCUUCCUGUUUUUGUUUUGAUUAACUUCAGUAAGACUAUUUGAUCUCCUGAGACAGUCCCUUUCCAGAUGUCAGGGAGCUAUGAAUCUACAUGGACACAAAUCAGAUGACUGUUUUCAUGCACGCCAAUUAAAGGGAUGUAUUUGUGAGUCCGAUUGCAGCUUCUGAUUGUAUCACACCUCACAUGUGCUCAACAGUUAUGCUUCACAUGUACACAACCCAUUCAAUGAUAACUACAUACACUGGAUGCCUGCCUUGUGUUCAUCACAACGACUAAAUCCAUUGUACAGCCCCUUGUAAAUGAGAACACACAGUCUUCCCUGUCUAGCUGGUGGAGAAUACUCAGACAGCUGCUGGGGUGGCACUCGCUGAUCUAUAGGCUAAUGUGGUGUAUCACAAGUGGAGCUGUCGGUGAUGUUUGUGCAGUCUCCUCUCUGAGCCAUGAAUAUAGAGAGUUAGAAGGGGUGUGUGCCACGGGUAAAUGUAAAGGGGUGUCCUGGGAUAUGGAUCUUUACAUUCAGUUGUAUUAUUCAUGAUUAACAAAGAGCAGUCUACUUGGUAAACCACAGUACCCUGCGUGUGUCUGUCUGUACCAUAUGUGCGUGUGUGAUUAACAGACUUGCAGAAAACCAGUAGCCAUGUUCAUGUGUAUGUUGUUCUAUGUAACUGUUCUCUAGUUGGUGGGAAGUUGGAUGGUGAAACAUUCCGCAUAUUAUGUUCUGCUUUGAAAACGAAAUAAAGCUCAUUCAUUUAUUACAGAG